rnacentral:rRNA from 1 species
GGUCCCGCCUGCCCUGUGACAAUGUUUAACGGCCGCGGUAUUUUGACCGUGCGAAGGUAGCGUAAUCAUUUGUCUUUUAAAUGAAGACCCGUAUGAAAGGCAUCACGAGAGUUUAACUGUCUCUAUUUUUUAAUCAAUGAAAUUGAUCUUCUCGUGCAGAAGCGAGAAUACUAACAUAAGACGAGAAGACCCUAUGGAGCUUUAAACACUUAAAUUAAUUAUGUAAAAUUAUAAAUCUAUGGACAUAAGUUAUUUAUAUAAUAUUCCUAAUUUAAAUGUUUUUGGUUGGGGUGACCGAGGGGAAAACAAAAUCCCCCCCAUCGAUUGAGUACUUAGUACUUAAAAAUUAGAACGACAGUUCUUAUUAAUAAAAUAUUUACCGAAAAAUGACCCAGUUUUUCUGAUCAAUGAACCAAGUUACCCUAGGGAUAACAGCGCAAUCCUUUCCAAGAGUCCAUAUCGCCGAAAGGGUUUACGACCUCGAUGUUGGAUCAGGACAUCCUAAUAGUGCAACCGUUAUUAAGGGUUCGUUUGUUCAACGAUUAAUAGUCCUACGUGAUCUGAGUU